rnacentral:rRNA from 1 species
UGGGGAAUAUUGGACAAUGGGGGAAACCCUGAUCCAGCAAUGCCGCGUGAGUGAUGAAGGCCUUAGGAUUGUAAAAUUCUUUCACCGGGGAAGAUAAUGACGGUACCCGGAGAAGAAGCCCCGGCUAACUUCGUGCCAGCAGCCGCGGUAAUACGAAGGGGGCUAGCGUUGCUCGGAAUUACUGGGCGUAAAGGGCGCGUAGGCGGACAGUUUAGUCAGAGGUGAAAGCCCAGGGCUCAACCUUGGAACUGCCUUUGAUACUGACUGUCUUGAGUUCGGGAGAGGUGAGUGGAAUGCCGAGUGUAGAGGUGAAAUUCGUAGAUAUUCGGCGGAACACCAGUGGCGAAGGCGACUCACUGGCCCGAUACUGACGCUGAGGCGCGAAAGCGUGGGGAGCAAA